AUUUCAUAAUCCUUAGGGCUACUGAUACUUGAAACUAGUACUCAAGUAACUGAUAAGUCCUAUCGGCCUCUAGUUUAAAAACGUUAACGUUUUUGGCAGCUUUACAUGUUGCGGAAGGUCAUUCCACAAACUGGCUGCAACGUGCGUUCUCUAAAAGACUGUACGAAUUUUUGGCACAGUGAGUCUCAGAUCUAAGUGGUCGAGAUGGAGAAUACACGCCAAUGACAUCUUGUAGAUAUUCGGGAACCCAUCCCGACAGCAUGCAGAAGGUGUUGUACUUCUGGAAAAGGAAAAGCGUAUUUGUUGGAAGAUGGAUAAAGAAAAAUUGGAGCAUGCACUAUACUUCUUUAAAUCCUGCUUUUUUAUCAGGUAACAUCAUUGUGUACAAAAGAAAUGCGCCUUCACAGUAAUACGGGGCCAUGUUAUUUAGGAUUUUAACUACUUGUCCUUCAUCACAAGCUUAAAAAGACUUCACAAUCUGACUGCAGAUGGAACUGCAUGGUUUGAAACCCUCAUAGGAAUUCUGAGAAGCAUGGAGACCUUUAAACCAGAUAAUGACAAGAUUUCCCAGUUCGAGGAGUACCAGGAAAAUUUACUUGCAGCAAAAUUGUACCUAAAGACAGACGCACUCAAGCAUGAAUGUAGAAUAAUUUCAAAGAUGUAGAAUAUAUAUAUAUAUAUAUAUAUAUAUAUAUAUAUAUAUAUAUAUAGAGAGAGAGAGAGAGAGAGAGAGAGAGAGAGAGAGAGAGAGAGAGAAUGAUAUGGUGAAAUAUUUAAACUCAAUGUCUUCAAUGGGUCUGGCAUGUAAGUAGAGAAUCAUGAUUCACAUGGUCAUAUAUUUCAAUUAUACUCUCAUUUUAGUGCAAUGGCGUUGUACAAAUAAAUAUUUUAAGUGUU